rnacentral:rRNA from 1 species
UUGAAUAUUCUAAGGCGCUCGAGAGAACGCUCGUGAAGGAACUCGGCAAAUUAACCCCGUAACUUCGGGAUAAGGGGUGCCCCUUGGGGUGUUAAAGCCCCGGGGGGCCGCAAUGAAAGGGAUCUGGCGACUGUUUACUAAAAACACAGGUCUCUGCGAACUCGUAAGAGGAUGUAUAGAGACUGACGCGUGCCCGGUGUCGGUAAGUUAAGGAAGAGGGUUAGCCCCUUCGGGGGUGAAGCUCGCAACCGAAGCUCCGAUAAACGGCGGCCGUAACUAUGACGGUCCUAAGGUAGCGAAGUUCCUUGUCGGGUAAGUUCCGACCUGCAUGAAUCGCGUAACGACCGGAUCACUGUCUCCACGAGCGACUCGGUGAAACUGUAGUUGUUGUGAAGAUGCAACAUACCCGCAACUAGACGGAAAGACCCCGUGAACCUUUACUGUAGCCUAGUAUUGGGCUUAGGCCCAGCAUGCGUAGUGUAGGUGGGAGGCUGUGAACCAGGUACCCCGGUACUUGGGGAGCCGCAAGAUGAAACACCACCCUUGUUGUGCUUGAGUUCUAACCCCGUCCCGUGAAUCCGGGCGGCGGACAGUGCUAGGUGGGCAGUUUGACUGGGGCGGUCUCCUCCUAAAAAGUAACGGAGGAGUUCAAAGGUACCCUCAGCCCGGUUGGCAAUCGGGCACCGAGCGUAAAGGUAAAAGGGUGCUUGACUGCGAGACCCAUAAGUCGAGCAGGUGCGAAAGCAGGACUUAGUGAUCCGGCGGUGCUGGAUGGAAAGGCCGUCGCUCAACAGAUAAAAGGUACUCCGGGGAUAACAGGCUUAUCUCCUCUGAGCGUUCACAGCGGCGAGGAGGUUUGGCACCUCGAUGUCGGCUCAUCGCAUCCUGGGGGUGGAGAAGCUCCCAAGGGUUUGGCUGUUCGCCAAUGAAAGCGGUACGUGAGCUGGGUUUAGACCGUCGUGAGACAGGUCGGUCCCUAUCUGUUGUGGGCGUAGGAGACUUGCGAAGCUUCCUCCCUAGUACGAGAGGAUUGGGAGGGACGUACCUCUGGUGUGCCAGUUGUCCCGCUCGGGGCAGCGCUGGGUAGCUACGUACGGCCGGGAUAAACGCUGAAGGCAUAUAAGCGUGAAACCCUCUUCAAGAACAGGUCUCCUGUCCCUUCGGGGACGAAGGCUCCUGGAAGACCACCAGGUAGAUAGGCCGGGUGUGUAAGGCGGGCAACCGCCUGAGCUGACCGGUACUAACAGCCGAACGCUUGACCGC